UAGCAUAUCAAUAAGCGGUGGAAAAGAAACUAACCAGGAUUCCCCUAGUAACGGCGAGUGAACAGGGAUAAGCCCAGCACCGAAGUCUGCGUCCGUUUGGACUCUGGACAAUGUGGUGUUUAGGUUAGCGUUUUGAUUCGUUGCUCUGUUUAAAGUCCAUUCUUGAAUAUGGCUAUUAGUUUGGCCCAGAGAGGGUGAAAGGCCCGUGUAGAUGGAGCGACGUUUCCCUGCGUUAACUAUGGAGUCGGGUUGUUUGAGAAUGCAGCCCAAAGUUGGUGGUAAACUCCAUCUAAGGCUAAAUACUGGCACGAGUCCGAUAGCGAACAAGUACCGUGAGGGAAAGUUGAAAAGUACUCUGAAGAGAGAGUUAACAGUGCGUGAAACCGCUUAGAAGCAAACGGGUGUAGUCAAGCUGCAAGCCUCUAGAAAUAGGCGGGCCAGAAUGGCGUGAGUCUGAGCACACAGAACUUACAGAUAAAUCCGGCUUUUUGUCGGAGUUGGCUCGCAAGGGCUGAUCUUGUCUGUUGGGUGUUCUACUGGCCCUCUCAAUUUCUUUUGGCGUAUGUCACGAUCGUCUUUGCUGUCGGUCUGCUCCAUUUAAACCGAUUCGUGAGUAGCUACGUGUUACUUGCGUUUCGGAGGCAGGUAGCUGAUCUGAUUUCGGUUGGAUUAGUGUUAUCGCUGAGUGGAGUGGUAUCUGUAACUGUGCAGUAAGAUGUGGCUGGCGGUGCAUUGUUGCUGGGCGCGCUAAGGCAUGUGGGCGUGGUUGGCGUAUGGCUGCUUGUUGCUGUUUAUAACAGCCUGGUGGUUGCCCGACCUCGGUUUUAUGUGCGGCUGCGUCUGGUCAAUC
rnacentral:rRNA from 1 species